ensembl:snRNA U2 U2 spliceosomal RNA
AUCGCUUUUUGGCCCUUUGGCUAAGAUCAAGUGUAGUAUCUGUUCUUAUCAGUUUAACAUCUAUAUACAUUCUCUACCUGAGAACGAAUUACUAAAUGGAUCUUUAGGGCAAGGAGCUGGACUAAGAGCUUGCUCCGUCUACUCCACGUAUCGACCUGGUAUUGCAGUGUUUCCAGGAACGGUGCCCUCCUA